rnacentral:rRNA from 2 species
AAAUUGAAGAGUUUGAUCAUGGCUCAGAUUGAACGCUGGCGGCAGGCCUAACACAUGCAAGUCGAACGGUAACAGGAAGCAGCUUGCUGCUUCGCUGACGAGUGGCGGACGGGUGAGUAAUGUCUGGGAAACUGCCUGAUGGAGGGGGAUAACUACUGGAAACGGUAGCUAAUACCGCAUAAUGUCGCAAGACCAAAGAGGGGGACCUUCGGGCCUCUUGCCAUCGGAUGUGCCCAGAUGGGAUUAGCUUGUUGGUGGGGUAACGGCU